rnacentral:lncRNA from 1 species
UGGGGACAAACUUUUAAGGCAUGAAUCUAAAAAAACAAGAUAUAUUUGUAUGACACACUUUAAUCUUAUAAUUAGAGUAAUUAUUUAUUGUCCGAAUGAUUCUUAUUUUUUCUGUGAUAUUUAAGUGUUCGAAUUUUGAGUUGUAUCUCUUGUACACUCAUCAAAAGACACUAGUGUUAUUGGUAUUUUAUUGUGCAUGUGAUAU